GAUGAAGAACGUAGCGAAAUGCGAUAAGUAAUGUGAAUUGCAGAAUUCAGUGAAUCAUCGAAUCUUUGAACGCACAUUGCGCCCGCCAGUAUUCUGGCGGGCAUGCCUGUUCGAGCGUCAUUUCAACCAUCAAGCCCCCGGCUUGUGUUGGGGACCUGCGGCUGCCGCAGGCCCUGAAAACCAGUGGCGGGCUCGCUAGUCACUCCGAGCGUAGUAAUACAUCUCGCUCAGGGCGUGCUGCGGGUUCCGGCCGUUAAAAAGCCUUAUUUACCCAAGGUUGGCCUCGGAUCAGGUAGGAAGACCCGCUGAACUUAAGCAUAUCAAUAAGCGGAGGA
rnacentral:misc_RNA from 1 species